GACGAACGCUGGCGGCGUGCUUAACACAUGCAAGUCGAACGGACAGGCCCUGCUUUUGUGGGGUGCUCGAGUGGCGAACGGGUGAGUAACACGUGAGUAACCUGCCCUUGACUUUGGGAUAAAUUCUGGAAACUGGGGCUAAUACCGGAUAGGAGCUCCUGCUGCAUGGUGGGGGUUGGAAAGUUUCGGCGGUUGGGGAUGGACUCGCGGCUUAUCCGCUUGUUGGUGGGGUAGUGGCUUACCAGGGUUUUGACGGGUAGCCGGCCUGAGAGGGUGACCGGGCACAUUGGGACUGCGGUACGGCCCAGACUCGUACGGGAGGCAGCAGUGGGGAAUAUUGCACAAUGGGCGGAAGCGUGAUGCAGCAACGCCGGGUGCGGGAUGACGGCCUUCGGGUUGUAAACCGCUUUCGCCUGUGACGAAGCGUGAGUGACGGUAAUGGGUAAAGAAGCACCGGCUAACUACGUG
rnacentral:rRNA from 1 species